CUGAAUAUAGACUAGACCCCACUAAUUAGCUUUGGGCAGCACCUCCUGUGUCCUGGUAACACACUAAUCUUAAGGAGGGAUAUACCACAAUUGUCCUCUUAGGAUCUGAAAUACUUCAUGAAAGAAGCGGGGAAGCAUCGUCUGAACAAUUUAAGAUCCUGGAUGAGAGGAAAGCAGCCUGUGGACUAACUUCAUCAGGAAUUUAUCUUCAGGGACUGCUGAAAAGAAGACUGUCUCUGUACUGUGUUCAAAUGUCACUGGUAAGCCUCCUUCAUCCUGGCUUCCCAUGUUGCCUCCCAUCUCUUGAUCUAAGAAGCUGGCAUCAUUUUCCCACCUCAUGGAGGGAUUUAUAAUUACAUUUGACCUUACAUUAACAUUAUUCUGCUCCAUUGUGGAAAGGUUUCCAGGUUCUGUUGAAUAUGUUCCGUGACAAAGUUCAUUUUCACCAUAUGUGUAUCCUGGUCAUCUAUGGGUACAGGAAGCAUAAUGCCCAGAAAUAAGCAGAUAACCCAGAAAACCUGCAUGAGCAGGUAAAGAAAGUAUCUCAGAAGACAGUUUGGAAAUAAAUGUGCUUGGUUCUCCUUACAAAGACACUGUCCAUGGAUCCCUGUCCCAGGCCACCACUAAUGUGGAAAGCCAUGGUCAUUGACCAUCCUCCACACCUACCUUCCGGCAUACUGUGUAAACAUUCUAUGCCACAGGUCUAUGCUUUGAAUGGAAAGCACGCUGUCACCACUCCCAUGCUCCAGAUGUCAACUGCCUUUGCGUCAUAUCCUGUGUCAGUGAAUAGCUUUGAAGCACAAAUUCAAGGAUGCCACAGGAUCCCUUGGACCUCUGCCCAGAGGAGACUCUGAUGGACAGGCCAUAGUCACAUGGUUUGAUGCUUCCUUUGCCAUCCAGCGGGAUGUUAUCUAGUUUGAUGUCCUUGUAUGCAAUGCUAUGCUUACGGUGGUAGGGAACUGCACACACUAUUUGAAUAAAGAUGUGCUGGGCGUGAU